rnacentral:piRNA from 1 species
UGAAGUUGGGGCCGAGCAAGAAAGUGCGA